UACGUAGGGUGCAAGCGUUAAUCGGAAUUACUGGGCGUAAAGCGUGCGCAGGCGGUUUUGUAAGACAGUGGUGAAAUCCCCGGGCUCAACCUGGGAACUGCCAUUGUGACUGCAAGGCUGGAGUGCGGAAGAGGGGGAUGGAAUUCCGCGUGUAGCAGUGAAAUGCGUAGAUAUGCGGAGGAACACCGAUGGCGAAGGCAAUCCCCUGGGCCUGCACUGACGCUCAUGCACGAAAGCGUGGGGAGCAAACAGG
rnacentral:rRNA from 1 species